rnacentral:rRNA from 1 species
CAGGGGGGCAAAUGUUGUUCGGAAUCACUGGGCGUAAAGGGAGCGUAGGCGGGUUCUUAAGUUAGGUGUUUAAUCCCGGGGGCCCAACCCCGGACCGGCACGUUAAAAACUGGGAAUCUUGAAUAGUGGAGAGGUCGGUGGAAUUGGAGGUGUAGCGGUGGAAUGCGUAGAGAUCUCCAAGAACACCAGUUGCGAAGGCGGCCGACUGGACACAUAUUGACGCUGAGGCUCGAAAGCAUGGGGAGCAAACAGGAUUAGAUACCCUGGUAGUCCAUGCCAUAAACGAUGAAUACUAGGUUUUGGGCCCGUCAACGGUCCAGAGCCGCAGCUAACGCGUUAAGUAUUCCGCCUGGGGAGGUACGGUCGCCAAGACUG